UCCGGUUUGUCACCGGCAGUCUCGCAUGAGUCCCCAACUAAAUGCUGGCAACAUGCGACGGGGGUUGCGCUCGUUGCGGGACUUAACCCAACAUCUCACGACACGAGCUGACGACAGCCAUGCAGCACCUGUGUCCAGGUUCCCUUUCGGGCACACUCCCAUCUCUGGGAGCCUCCUGGCAUGUCAAGGGUAGGUAAGGUUUUUCGCGUUGCAUCGAAUUAAUCCACAUA
rnacentral:misc_RNA from 1 species